AGUAAGGAUGGCUUUACAAAAGGUGGUGCGGUUUGCUGUUAUUCUGUUGGUUUUAUGUUACGCCCUGGAUAAACCAGGAUUCAGGCAGUCUGUAUCCACCUUCUUUAAGGACUUGAGAGUUACUAGGUCACCCAGCCUUCAUGUCAGAGAAAAAAGACAAACUUCAACAAAUGCAACUGAUUAUAAGAUCCAAGUUCUAAUAACCCUUUCUGACCUGGAGAAUCUUCAAAUUAUCAUUAACAACCUCAGUUUUCCCAUAUUGAUCAACAACAGCAGUGAGAUUUACAACAUUGACGUCACAACAG